CGCUUGCGGAAGCCUUUGCAGCUGGAAACAGUAGCUACGCGACUCUAAAUAAUGGUGGCCUUAUGCAAGUCAACGUUUAGUUGGCGACACUUUCGAAUUGCGGGGAACCCCUAAAGCCUUUUGCACCAAGCUAUACUGGGAAACCAUAUGGUGGCCUGUGGGAAACUACAGGGUACGGUAACAGCCAAAAGGAUAAGCUACCACGCGGUAGUGCAAUGGGCAAUCCGCAGCGAAGCCCCUGCUGUUUUUCGUUUUUAUCGGCGAAACAUGGGGAACGUUCACAGACUAAGUGGAAGUGGGUGGAGUUUUCAAAACUCUGCUUAAGAUAUAGUCGGGCCUCCUGGGAAACCUUGAGGGUAGAGCCUUUGCUGCAAAGCUCUACAUGAAGCUGUUCCGUAGGUGAACCUGCGGAAGGAUCAUUACACUCAGUAGAUUUCUACUGCUCGGGGAGAGGGGAAAGCCUCCAGCCUGGCUGGCGGGUGAGUACGCUCUGUCUGCACCCUUGUCUUUUUGCGUACUUCUGUUUCCUCGGCGGGUUUGCCCGCCGGCUGGACAACACAACAACCUUUUUGAAUUUUCAAUCAGCGUCUGAAUAACCAUAAUAAUUACAACUUUCAACAACGGAUCUCUUGGUUCUGGCAUCGAUGAAGAACGCAGCGAAAUGCGAUAAGUAGUGUGAAUUGCAGAAUUCAGUGAAUCAUCGAAUCUUUGAACGCACAUUGCGCCCCUUGGUAUUCCAUGGGGCAUGCUUGUUCGAGCGUCAUUUGUACCCUCAAGCUUUGCUUGGUGCUGGGUGUUUGUCCUUUCCUCGCGUUUGGACUCGCCUUAAAAGUAUUGGCAGCCAGUGUAUUGGUUUAGAGCGCAGCACAAUUUGCGAUUUAAGCUGGUAAUCAGUGGCCUCCAUCAAGCCAUCUAACACUUUUGACCUCGGAUCAAGUAGGGAUACCCGCUGAACUUAAGCAUAUCAAUAA
rnacentral:misc_RNA from 1 species